rnacentral:rRNA from 1 species
UGGCGAACGGGUGAGUAAUAUAUCGGAACGUGCCCAAUAGUGGGGGAUAGCCCGGCGAAAGCCGGAUUAAUACCGCAUGAGACCUAAGGGUGAAAGCGGGGGAUUCGCAAGAACCUCGCGCUAUUGGAGCGGCCGAUAUCAGAUUAGGUAGUUGGUGGGGUAAAAGCCUACCAAGCCGACGAUCUGUAGCUGGUCUGAGAGGACGACCAGCCACACUGGGACUGAGACACGGCCCAGACUCCUACGGGAGGCAGCAGUGGGGAAUUUUGGACAAUGGGCGAAAGCCUGAUCCAGCAAUGCCGCGUGUGGGAAGAAGGCCUUCGGGUUGUAAACCACUUUUGUACGGAACGAAACGGUUCACUUUAAUACAGUGGGCUAAUGACGGUACCGUAAGAAUAAGCACCGGCUAACUACGUGCCAGCAGCCGCGGUAAUACGUAGGGUGCGAGCGUUAAUCGGAAUUACUGGGCGUAAAGCGUGCGCAGGCGGUUAUAUAAGACAGUUGUGAAAUCCCCGGGCUCAACCUGGGAAUUGCAUCUGUGA